rnacentral:misc_RNA from 1 species
GAAAAGCGAUGUCUACAGCUUUGGAAUUGUGAUUCUUGAAAUCAUGAGCGGAAGGAAGGUGCUUGAUACAUCAAAUUCUUCGUAUCUUUUGAUUACUGAUUGGGCAUGGACGCUAGCAAAAUCUGGAAAUAUAGAGCAAAUCUUUGAUGAAUCUAUUAGGGAGGAAGGACCAAAAGGGGUAAUGGAGAGAUUUGUUCUUGUUGGGAUUCUUUGUGCACAUGUAAUGGUGGCAUUUAGACCCACCAUUGCUGAUGCUCUUAGAAUGCUAGAGGGUGAUAUUGACAUCCCAAAAUUGCCUGACAGGCCAAUGCCACUCGGCCAUGAAGCGUUUAGAUCCUCUACCUCUUUCUGGUGUAGUAGCAGUUCAACAGCAAGUCAAAGAUCAAGAACGACCAGCGGUUCCGGCAUAAGCUUAGUGUAGUAGCAGUUCAACAGCAAGUCAAAGAUCAAGAACGACCAGCGGUUCCGGCAUAAGCUUAGUGUAGAUUAUAGAUAAAGAUGAUAUUAAUUAGAUGAUAAGACUUCUUGGAUUUGUUCAAUCAUUGUCUGGUCAGAAAAUUCAAAAUCCCUUCUGCCAGCCAACCUCUGAUUUGAAGUUUCAAUUUUCAAAGCAUACAUUCAAAGAUGGGCUAGUCUACGUCUUUCAAUUUUUUUUUUUU